AUUGAACGCUGGCGGCAGGCCUAACACAUGCAAGUCGAGCGAGCGGCGGACGGGUGAGUAAUGUAUGGGGACUGCCCGAUAGAGGGGGAUAACUACUGGAAACGGUGGCUAAUACCGCAUACUAUCGGAUAACCCAUAUGGGAUUAGCUAGUAGGUGGGGUAAAGGCUCACCUAGGCGACGAUCUCUAGCUGGUCUGAGAGGAUGAUAAGCCACACUGGAAAUGAGACACGGCCCAGACUCCUACGGAGGCAGCAGUGGGGAAUAUUGGAAAAUGGGCGAAAGCCGUAUACAGCCAUGCCGAGUGUAUGAAGAAGGCCGUAGGGUUGUAAAGUACUUUCAUCGGGGAGGCGGUACCCACAGAAGAAGCAACGGCUAACUCCGUGCCAGCAGCCGCGGUAAUAC
rnacentral:rRNA from 1 species